rnacentral:rRNA from 1 species
AACGAGCGCUGGCGGCAGGCCUAACACAUGCAAGUCGAGCGCUCCGCAAGGGGAGCGGCGGACGGGUGAGUAACGCGUGGGAACGUGCCCUUUGCUACGGAAUAGCCCCGGGAAACUGGGAGUAAUACCGUAUAAGCCCUACGGGGGAAAGAUUUAUCGGCAAAGGAUCGGCCCGCGUUGGAUUAGGUAGUUGGUGUGGUAAGGGCCUACCAAGCCGACGAUCCAUAGCUGGUUUGAGAGGAUGAGCAGCCACACUGGGACUGAGACACGGCCCAGACUCCUAGGGGAGGCAGCAGUGGGGGAUCUUAGACAAUGGGCGCAAGCCUGAUCGAGCCAUGCCGCGUGAGCGAUGAAGGCCUUAGGGUUGUAAAGCUCUUUCGUGGGGGAAGAUAAUGACUGUACCCCAAGAAGAAGCCCCGGCUAACUCCGUGCCAGCCGCCGCAGUAACAC